AUCAAAGUUUGAUGGGCCUGAGAACUAGCUGGAUCACCUGGAUGGAAAGAUCUUGAGUGGCAGAAAAUGUGGAUAACCCAUCCCUGCAUCACUGGACUCCAGUGCUACAGAAAUGCUCAUCAGAGAAAUGCACAUCAAAUUAGUAAGGACUUUGUAGUCUUACAAGACUUAAACAGAUUACAUUCUAGUAAUCUAGUUUUCCCUCUUCUCUGAGUACAAUUGACUUCACAUUAAUGGGUAAAGUUAUCUUUCAUUGGAAUAAAGACUACAGAACACACUAGCUACCUUCUGAUCCCAAUAACUCAUCCCCUCCACCUAACACUGCUAUAGGAAAUUGGCUGUGUUGAACAGAAUCGAAAAUGUUCCUCAAUUAUCCUUGCAGGACAGAGUGAUCUGAUGCCUAUUUCUACCUCCUGCAGAUCUGAAUCUGCCCCCUGCUAUCAUGAGUAGGAGACAGAUUCCCAGAACACAAACCUAGGUGUCUCUCAAUAGCAGCCAUCUGCUUCUCCCGGAAACACAGCAACUUUUUUUCUGAAAAUGUUUUAUUGAGAAAUGCAUGCUUAUCUCUAAUUCCUCAGGGGAAUUUCCUUGUAGGGACAUGAGUUACUUGCCUUCAGAUGAAAACCUAAAGAAGAAAAGAACAAAAACAAAGCAAGGCCAAGAAUCAUCCUCCGAAAGUCUCAGGAACACCCAGGAGGUCUCACACAAUCACAAUCCAGAAAUUAGUUUCUAUCAAACUGUGCUUCUUGUCUGAAACUCCUCCUGUAGUUGACUCUAAACUUGCCACAUAAUCGCAGAGGAGACAGGAAGAAAAGAGAACCCACUGAAGGCAUCGCCCGCCACCUCGAUGCAUGAUCUCCGUGCUGAGGCAGACCUGUUUUUUGCCAUGUUUAGGUCUCAAUUAUUAAUCAAGAAGAGUUUUCUCAGCUCCUAACCUCAAAAGCACAAGUUGACAGUCUGGGUCUUACAGUGCUGUUCGUGAUCUAAAGGAAAUUCAUUAUAAAGUGGCCUUUCUUUAUAGAGGAAGACAUAUUCUUUCUUUAUUGUUGCCUCUCAAGCCAGACUCCCUGCCCAGUCUGGAGAAAGAUAAUAUUUCUCCUAAGAAGACAAUAUUAAUGAACUCAAUUCGGAGAAUACAGUUGCCCGGGCUGAGGCAAAGAGACUCAAAGCAUGCCUUGGGUCCCAGUUUUGCUUUUAUAAUUUCCUUCACUGAAGGAAUGGUGGAGAAUGGAUAAAGGGAUGCCCUAAAAGCUAUAUUCCCAGAGGCAGGAGUUCUCCCUCUACACUAGGCUCUCCAGAAAUUAGGGGAAAGGCAGCUUCCUCAACGGCAUCACUUAGAUGGCCACUCUCUUUGUUUUCCUGGAAAAGGGUGCUGGCAACUAUGAAAAUGACAACUAGAACUCUGGGAUAACCUUGUCAUUUUUAUGCAUGUUGAUUCUUGGUUGUUAUUUGCUUGAUACUGAUCUAGAAGGGCAAAUAUGAUUUUAAAGAAAAGUAUAAGAAGCUCUGUGUCUCAGAAUGACAUCUGAUUCAUCACAAAGGAUUUCCCUGUUUAUUCCCCAGUGAGUCACAUGUACACAGAAAUGAGGGAGACACUUUAAAAGACAUGGAAAUAGAAGGACAGUUACCAGAGGCUGGGAAGGAUAGUGGGAGGGUUGGGGUGGGGGAAGGUGGGGAUGAUCAAUGGGUACAAAAAAAUAGCUAUAAAGAACAAAUAAGACCUACUAUUUGAUAACACAACUGGGUGACUAUAGUCAAUAAUAAUUUAAUUGUAUUUUUAAAAAACUAAAAAUGUAUAAUUGAAUUGUUUGUAAUACAAAGCAAAAAUGUUUGAAGGGAUGGAGACCUCAUUCUCCAUGAUGUGAUUAUAAUGCAUUGCAUGCCUGUAUUAACACAUCUCAUGUACCCUGUAAAUAUUAGGUUGAUGCAAAAGUAAUUGUGGUUUUUGGCUAUAUACACCUACCAUGUACCCAAAACAACUAAAAAUAAAUUAAA
rnacentral:lncRNA from 1 species